GUGCAGCAGAGGGGGAGGGGCGGGCAGGCAGACCUCCCCCACCCGCGAUGUUGCGGGGUCCUGGUUUUGGCUCUGCGGGUCCUCACAGCCCCCAGCACACCUGCGGGGGCCAGGCUUUAGACAGACUUUGAUCCUAGGAGCCGAGUCCACGUGGGGGCGGGCCGCCGGGCGUCUGUGUGACAGACCCGCCACCUGGGAGGGGCCGGGAGCAGAGCCCCUGCGUGCGGGGCCCUCGGGUGCGUCCUCCGGGCACAGGAGCCUGAGAUUAGGCCAACAGACUCAUAAACAAGUGCUGCACGUAACUUGUGACUCUCGGCCUAGCACCGGGCUGAGGAGUUAGCCCUCAGGCGAGUGGCCUGAACCGAGGAUCUUUGUAAAUGGUUUAGUAAAGUGAAUUACUCCUAUCAUCACCUCCCCGGGAGACCUUGUGUAAAUCAGCUUGGAGAGCCAGAUGUUCAUCUUCCGUUUCUGCUUGGCUGGGAUAUAGAAGAAUGGAGGAAAGUUUGCAAGACAUUAUAAAAGAAGAAUUGACAGAAUUUGAUGAUAUAUUGGUUAUUGGGAGGGAGAAAAAUAGGAGAAUCCAACAAAGAUAAUUACAAUGUUUCCAAUCUGA